GAAUGCUGACAUAAGUAACGAUAAAGCGGGUGAAAAGCCCGCUCGCCGGAAGACCAAGGGUUCCUGUCCAACGUUAAUCGGGGCAGGGUGAGUCGACCCCUAAGGCGAGGCCGAAAGGCGUAGUCGAUGGGAAACAGGUUAAUAUUCCUGUACUUGGUGUUACUGCGAAGGGGGGACGGAGAAGGCUAUGUUGGCCGGGCGACGGUUGUCCCGGUUUAAGCGUGUAGGCUGAUUUUCCAGGCAAAUCCGGAAAAUCAAGGCUGAGGCGUGAUGACGAGGCACUACGGUGCUGAAGCAACAAAUGCCCUGCUUCCAGGAAAAGCCUCUAAGCAUCAGGUAACAUCAAAUCGUACCCCAAACCGACACAGGUGGUCAGGUAGAGAAUACCAAGGCGCUUGAGAGAACUCGGGUGAAGGAACUAGGCAAAAUGGUGCCGUAACUUCGGGAGAAGGCACGCUGAUAUGUAGGUGAAGCGACUUGCUCGUGGAGCUGAAAUCAGUCGAAGAUACCAGCUGGCUGCAACUGUUUAUUAAAAACACAGCACUGUGCAAACACGAAAGUGGACGUAUACGGUGUGACGCCUGCCCGGUGCCGGAAGGUUAAUUGAUGGGGUUAGCGGUAACGCGAAGCUCUUGAUCGAAGCCCCGGUAAACGGCGGCCGUAACUAUAACGGUCCUAAGGUAGCGAAAUUCCUUGUCGGGUAAGUUCCGACCUGCACGAAUGGCGUAAUGAUGGCCAGGCUGUCUCCACCCGAGACUCAGUGAAAUUGAACUCGCUGUGAAGAUGCAGUGUACCCGCGGCAAGACGGAAAGACCCCGUGAACCUUUACUAUAGCUUGACACUGAACAUUGAGCCUUGAUGUGUAGGAUAGGUGGGAGGCUUUGAAGUGUGGACGCCAGUCUGCAUGGAGCCGACCUUGAAAUACCACCCUUUAAUGUUUGAUGUUCUAACGUUGGCCCGUUAUCCGGGUUGCGGACAGUGUCUGGUGGGUAGUUUGACUGGGGCGGUCUCCUCCUAAAGAGUAACGGAGGAGCACGAAGGUUGGCUAAUCCUGGUCGGACAUCAGGAGGUUAGUGCAAUGGCAUAAGCCAGCUUGACUGCGAGCGUGACGGCGCGAGCAGGUGCGAAAGCAGGUCAUAGUGAUCCGGUGGUUCUGAAUGGAAGGGCCAUCGCUCAACGGAUAAAAGGUACUCCGGGGAUAACAGGCUGAUACCGCCCAAGAGUUCAUAUCGACGGCGGUGUUUGGCACCUCGAUGUCGGCUCAUCACAUCCUGGGGCUGAAGUAGGUCCCAAGGGUAUGGCUGUUCGCCAUUUAAAGUGGUACGCGAGCUGGGUUUAGAACGUCGUGAGACAGUUCGGUCCCUAUCUGCCGUGGGCGCUGGAGAACUGAGGGGGGCUGCUCCUAGUACGAGAGGACCGGAGUGGACGCAUCACUGGUGUUCGGGUUGUCAUGCCAAUGGCACUGCCCGGUAGCUAAAUGCGGAAGAGAUAAGUGCUGAAAGCAUCUAAGCACGAAACUUGCCCCGAGAUGAGUUCUCCCUGACUCCUUGAGAGUCCUGAAGGAACGUUGAAGA
rnacentral:rRNA from 1 species